rnacentral:tRNA from 1 species
GGCAUCAUAGUCUAGCGGUCAGGACACACGCCUCUCACGCGUGGGACCGGAGUUCGAUUCUCCGUGGUGCUACCA